ACGGCAGUAAUCCAGUCCAUGUCGAGUACCUCCCUCACUGAUCUCCUCCAGGAGCUGCAGGGCAGUGAAGGACAGCUUCCCCUUGUGCUGCAAAAUAAGUUUGGAGUGACGUUGCUCUAUCUGAUUCUGAGUGAAGGAGAGAGGAUGCAGAGCUCCGAUCCCAACUGUCAGCUCAUGGAUGAUAACCGCUGGACUGAAUUGGUGUUCUCUGUGACGCGGGAGCUUUUGAAGGUCCCGUCCUCU